rnacentral:misc_RNA from 1 species
GAUGAAGAACGUAGCGAAAUGCGAUAAGUAAUGUGUAUUGCAGAAUUCAGUGAAUCUUCGAAUCUUUGAACGCACAUUGCGCCCCCUGGUAUUCCGGGGGGCAUGCCUGUUCGAGCGUCAUUUCACCACUCAAGCCUCGCUUGGUAUUGGGCAACGCGGUCCGCCGCGUGCCUCAAAUCGACCGGCUGGGUCUUCUGUCCCCUAAGCGUUGUGGAAACUAUUCGCUAAAGGGUGUUCGGGAGGCUACGCCGUAAAACAACCCCAUUUCUAAGGUUGACCUCGGAUCAGGUAGGGAUACCCGCUGAACUUAAGCAUAUCAAUAAGCGGAGGA